CUUAACACAACAGGAAUUGUCGUAAGGAUGGCUGCUACCGGUGGCAUUCGGCCGUCAUAGCAGCUGCUCAUAGGCACCGCUGUGCUGCUGCAGGAUGCCCUGGUCCUGGUACGUCGACGCUGCCUUUCCCGCUGCUUGUGUGUUUGGUGGUGCAUACUAUCUCACCACCCGGUAUCGUCACUCGCCUGGUGGUGUUUCCCUUUUGUGACCCGUAAACAGCCCAUCCCAACAUCGUCCUCACCCAGAUUGAGGCUCCAGCGGUGGAAGUAGUAGGAGCACAUUCUCCAAGCCGAUUGGGAUUCUCCAAGCCUGGUUCUCGGUGUACCAUCCUCCUGAUGUUCCGCUGGCCGAUCCUCUGUUGAAACCGUCGCCGUGAACGACCGCUCUCCCCCGCGUGCAGCAAUCUCCAGGCUCCAGGUCAAACGUGAAGCUGAAACGUCUCCUUGCGUUUCACGUUGGCCGUCCACUGCAACUCAAGUGGGGGCCCGGCUGGCCCUUCAAUCUGAUACUCGCUGCUAGGGUAACUUCAGCGGGAAUGAUGAUCCUUCAUCCAGAAAUUGCGUGCGUGCCUCGCACUCGCUUGUUCAACGCUUGCACAACCCGGGACACGACACAGGAGAAUCUCGAUCGACAAGGCUUUGUUACGUGGUUUGCGGCACAGCUUCAUCUGCGUUACAGUCUCAACACGUUCCAUGGGAGACAUGCGCUUCGCAUCAUUCUCUUAGCGUAUGAUCCGUGUUCGAUCGAACGAAGAUAUGGACAUCGCUACUAAACCGGGGUAAGAAUGCUUCAGACAAAUGGCGAGUAGCAGCAAAUGAAUUAUCUCGAAAACUAAGCGUCGAAGGAGAAACGUUCUCUUUCGCUACACGCAUCCAAAUCCCGAUGUAAAUUGAAGUGUUCGAUGGCUUUUUCCAUCACGAAUCAUAUACCAAAAUUCGGUUCAUUUUCCGGAGCCCGUUUUCAAAUGACAGCCCGUGGCGCGUUCUGCAGAAGGACUUUGACUCCGAUUUUGAGUAACGAGUGUUGGUCGUACCUACGCAAAUGGUCGUUCCAAAUUUGGUCUACUAGCCGCGCUCUAUCCAACGAGGGAUAACAAUGGAUCCGGGAAGGGUGAAAAAACAUUCCCACACCUGUGUGUAAAACGGUGAAAAUUUCACACAAAAUCACGUUUUUUGACUGGAAGAGUCGAGCUGAGUGGUUCCUAGGAGGACACGCUUGUGAGACAAAAGUUGCACAACUUGUACCGACGCGUCUGUCGCUGCCUGAUAUAGCUUUGUAUUAGCUUCCGUUCGAAAGUAAUUUGACGUUUUUCCUUCCUGCAGUAUGGAACAGGGAGGGCGGGAGGAGGUGCAAUACCCCACCGUCGGAUAGUACUUGGCGAGAGCUUUCCAUCGAUGCCCCGCACGCACGCCCUUAUAUAAGCUCGCGUUCGAAAGCUAUGCUCAUGUAAAGGUGGCCUAUCAAAAUUUGUGUUCGUGGAUCGGCGUCGGCAGUGGAAAACAUCCCCACAAUGUACGUUUGAAGUUGAUGCUAUCCGGCGAGGAAGAGUGGAAAAUCGCAAUCAUUGCAAACUCGAAAAUUAACUCGUUUUAUAUAGGCAUUUGUACAUUUCAAUUUAUUCCAAUGCUAUACGUGUAUUUUUACAUGGCCUCAAUCUUACACUAAAAUACAAUAAAUACAUAUUUAUUUCCCUUCAA